AACACAUUGUAGCAUUUUUUCCGCCAAUUAAAAUCUGUUCUUAUCAGCGUGAUAUCUGAUAUGAUUCCAUGUGGGAUUCUUCGAUAUUAAACUGAUUUUUGGUUCAUGGCGAAAGUUGCUAGGGGCUUGCUCCACCUUUGCCGCGGAUCAACCCGGUAUUGCAUUAUCUCCGGGAUUGGUCCACUCCCC